rnacentral:rRNA from 1 species
UAGAGAAUACCAAGGCGCUUGAGAGAACUCGGGUGAAGGAACUAGGCAAAAUGGUGCCGUAACUUCGGGAGAAGGCACGCUGACACGUAGGUGAAGUGAUUUACUCACGGAGCUGAAGUCAGUCGAAGAUACCAGCUGGCUGCAACUGUUUAUUAAAAACACAGCACUGUGCAAACACGAAAGUGGACGUAUACGGUGUGACGCCUGCCCGGUGCCGGAAG